AGAGUUUGAUCAUGGCUCAGAACGAACGCUGGCGGCGCGCCUAAUACAUGCAAGUCGAGCGAGAAGACGUAGCAAUACGUUGGUACAGCGGCGAACGGGUGAGGAAUACAUGGGUAACCUACCCUCGAGUGGGGAAUAACUAGCCGAAAGGUUAGCUAAUACCGCAUACGAUUCCCGGAUUGCGGUUCGGGAAAGAAAGCUAUCCCGUGGGGAUGGCGCUCCUGGAUGGGCUCAUGUCCUAUCAGCUGGUUGGUGAGGUAACGGCUCACCAAGGCUUCGACGGGUAGCUGGUCUGAGAGGACGAUCAGCCACACUGGCACUGCGACACGGGCCAGACUCCUACGAGAGGCAGCAGUAAGGAAUAUUGCGCAAUGGGCGACAGCCUGACGCAGCGACGCCGCGUGGGGGAUGAAGGUCUUCGGAUUGUAAACCCCUUUCGGGAGGGAAGAGGGAAUGGGGCAACCCAUUCGGACGGUACCUCCAGAAGCAGCCACGGCUAACUUCGUGCCAGCAGCCGCGGUAAUACGAAGGUGGCAAGCGUUGUUCGGAUUCACUGGGCGUACAGGGAGCGUAGGCGGUUGGGUAAGCCCUCCGUGAAAUCUCCGGGCCUAACCCGGAAAGGGCAGAGGGGACUGCUUGGCUUGAGGACGGGAGAGGAGCGCGGAAUUCCCGGUGUAGCGGUGAAAUGCGUAGAGAUCGGGAGGAAGGCCGGUGGCGAAGGCGGCGCUCUGGAACGUUUCUGACGCUGAGGCUCGAAAGCGUGGGGAGCAAACAGGAUUAGAUACCCUAGUAGUCC
rnacentral:rRNA from 1 species